AAUAGAGAGCAAGGGACAUAUAAGAAAUCUCCAGGCAGCUUCACUUAGAUGCAUCAUCUUCUGCUAGGAGUCAGCUUGAAGAACGACCUUCUCAGGAGACUGCAACUGACAUGCUGGAUGGGGAAUAACCAAAUUUCUGGACAAAGACAAAGAGUUCAUCGCAAGGGGUGGUGUUUAGGAUAUAUACACAAAAGAGGAAACUUUUUUUGUACAGAACCAAAUUAUAUGAUGUAAUUGACCACUAUUUCUAAGAAAUGUUCAUCAUGUAUU